rnacentral:rRNA from 1 species
CUACCCAUGAGCAGGAUGAAGCGAAAGUAAAAUUUCGUGGAGGUCCGAACCCACGAGCGUUGAAAAGCUCGGGGAUGACUUGUGGGUAGCGGUGAAAUUCCAAUCGAGCCCGGAGAUAGCUGGUUCUCCCCGAAAUAGCUUUAGGGCUAGCCUCAAGGUGAGAGAUACGGAGGUAGAGCACUGAAUGUCCUAGGGGGUAUUGCACCUACCGAAGACUAUCAAACUCCGAAUGCCGUCAUCUUAUACUUGGGAGUCAGACUGUGGGUGAUAAGAUUCAUAGUCGAAAGGGCAACAGCCCAGAUCGUCAGCUAAGGUCCCUAAAUGUAAGUUAAGUGGUAAAGGAUGUGGGAUUGCACAGACAACCAGGAUGUUGGCUUAGAAGCAGCCACUCAUUCAAAGAGUGCGUAAUAGCUCACUGGUCGAGUGAUCCUGCGCCGAAGAUUUCCGGGGCUAAAACUUACUACCGAAGCUACGGCAUCAGUAAUGAUGGGUAGGGGAGCUUCCCAUACGGGUUGAAGCAUGACCGUAAGGACAUGUGGACAGUAUGGGAGUGAGAAUGUUGGCAUGAGUAGCGAGAUGUGGGUGAGAAUCCCACAGGCCGUAAACCCAAGGUUUCCAGGGGAAGGUUCGUCCGCCCUGGGUUAGUCGGGACCUAAGCUGAGGCCGAAAGGCGUAGGUGAUGGACAACAGGUUGAUAUUCCUGUACUACCGAUAACCGUUUGAGAGAUGGGAUGACACAGUAGGAUAAGCUAAGCACACUGUUGGUUAUGUGUGCCCAAGCAUUGAGGCAGUCAAAGUAGGCAAAUCCGCUUUGAUAAUGCUGGGAUGUGAUGGGGAGCGAAAUUUAGUAGCGAAGUAGCUGAUUUCACACUGUCAAGAAAAGUCUCUAUCGAGGUUAAAGGUACCCGUACCGCAAACCGACACAGGUGGGUGAGGAGAGUAUCCUAAGGCCAGCGAGAGAACUGUUGUUAAGGAACUCGGCAAAAUGACCCCGUAACUUAGGGAUAAGGGGUGCCACCAUCAGGUGGCCGCAGAGAAUAGGCCCAAGCGACUGUUUACCAAAAACAUAGGUUUCUGCUAAGUCGCAAGACGAUGUAUAGGAGCUGACGCCUGCCCGGUGCUGGAA